rnacentral:rRNA from 1 species
UACAGAGGUCUCAAGCGUUGUUCGGAUUCAUUGGGCGUAAAGGGUGCGUAGGCGGCGGCGUAAGUCGGGUGUGAAAUCCCAGGGCUCAACCCUGGAACUGCACUCGAUACUGCGUCGCUGGAGGACUGGAGAGGAGACUGGAAUUCACGGUGUAGCAGUGAAAUGCGUAGAUAUCGUGAGGAAGGCCAGUGGCGAAGGCGAGUCUCUGGACAGUAACUGACGCUGAGGCACGAAGGCCAGGGGAGCAAACGGG